AGCAGCCGCGGUAAUUCCAGCUCCAAUAGCGUAUAUUAAAGUUGUUGCAGUUAAAAAGCUCGUAGUUGAAUUUCGGGGUCAGUAGGUCGGUCGUGCCACAGGUAUGCACUGGUCUCACUGAUUCCUCCUUCCUGAUGAACCGUAAUGCCAUUAAUUUGGUGUUGCGGGGAAUUUGGACUGUUACUUUGAAAAAAUUGGAGUGUUUAAAGCAAGCUAACGCUUGAAUACAUUAGCAUGGAAUAAUGAAAUAGGACGUUCGAUCCUAUUUUGUUGGUUUCUAGGAUUGACGUAAUGAUUAAUAGGGAUAGUUGGGGGCAUUAGUAUUCAAUUGUCAGAGGUGAAAUUCUUGGAUUUAUUGAAGACUAACUACUGCGAAAGCAUUUGCCAAGGAUGUUUUCAUUAAUUCAAGAACGAGAGUUAGGGGAUCGAAGACGAUCAGAUACCGUCGUAGUCUUAACCAUAAACUAUGCCGACUAGGGAUCGGAUGAUGUAAUUUUUAAUAACUCAUUCGGCGCCUUAC
rnacentral:rRNA from 1 species